GUGAUCAGGACUGAACACACAGGAAUCACCAUGGAGUUUGUGCUGAGCUGGGUUUUCCUUGCUGCUAUUUUAAAAGGUGUCCAGUGUGAGGUGCAGCUGGUGGAGUCUGGGGGAGGCUUGGUACAGCCUGGGGGGUCCCUUAGACUCUCCUGUGCAGCCUCUGGAUUCACUUUCAGUAACAUCUGGAUGAGCUGGGUCCGCCAGGCUCUGGGGAAGGGGCUGGAGUGGGUUGGCUGUAUUAAAAGCAAAGCUAAUGGUGGGACAACAGACUACACUGCACCUGUGAAAGGCAGAUUCACCAUCUCAAGAGAUGAUUCAAAAAACACGCUGUAUCUGCAAAUGAACAGCCUGAAAACCGAGGACACGGCCGUGUAUCACUGUACCACAGACACAGUGAGGGGAGGUCAGUGUAAGCCCAGACACAAACCUCCCUGCAGGGGCGCGUGGGGCAACCAGGGGGCCCUCGGGACCCACUGA